rnacentral:tRNA from 1 species
GGACCCGUAGUUCAGCCUGGAUAGAACGGCAGCCUCCUAAGCUGCAGGUCGGGGGAAGUUUUUAGUAAUUAGCUAUCAACUACCGAAUUCAAAUCCUCCCGGGUCCG